rnacentral:lncRNA from 1 species
CAUUUAUUGUGCAGUUUAUGUAUAAAAGAUUAGAAAGUAUAACAUUGCUAUAAAAUAUAAAUAGAGCAUAUAUGUUCUCUAAAUAUUUCUAAAAUCAGUCUGUACAUAAAGCUAUCGAUGAUAAAAAAAAAUAUUGCCCUUCAACAUGUAUCACAGUUCUCUGCAAACAUUUUAUUCUCACGUAGUCCUGCCAAUGACUAGGACACAUGCCGUAACUAGCGGACUGAGUGACAGGCAAGGCACAGCCAGAAAGUGACACUGCAGGAAAAGUAGGAUUUUAGAACAGAAGCAGAACAUGACUGACUGGACAGAACUGUAACAAAGUGUCUCCGGAAGAGAUUGCAGCAUGUCACUAGAACAGUGCUCAAGGAUGCUUCAUGACACUCUUGAUUCUAAGGGACAACUGUCACAUCACAACAUUUAAUAUAAUCCUUUUAUCAAGUUUUGAAUAAAAAUAUACUUCAUAAAAAAAAAUAAACCACCGCUCGUCCCUAACUCUAGAAUAUGACGUGAUCCUUCAGUCAUGUACAUUCACAUUUGCUCAGACAGUCUACAUGAUGUUCCCAGCUUCACUCCUUGCAAAGAAGCCGGGAAAACGAACCAGACUGUCUGUUUUGAGUGGACAGUUGUUCUGUAAAUGGAACACUGGUUUUAUUCACAAAAAUGGAGUUUACAUUUACAAUCAACUUUCAAAAUUCAAGUGAAAAUAGCACAGUCAGGAGAAAAACCUUCAUAACUGAGCUGAAUAUUUUAUCCAACUGCGAUGUAAAACUUAAAGUAUCUAUCUUGAUUGGGAAAGGUACUUUUUAACAUUAACUUUAAAUAUGUUGCUGUAAAAAAGACUCAUAUUUGGGUUUCAUUGUACUCACAUUAAAAAGCAGCGUUGGCUAUAACGGAACUUCUCAUUACAGCCAAUACCCCACCGUGAACACCAGAAAUAUUGAGCACUAUAAUUUUGAUCUUUAUAACCAGUAGAAAGUGUGUUAUCCAUGUAGGGGUUGGAAAACGUGGCUCAGAAUAACUGUAAUGUAAGUCUAUGGCAUCUUGAGUUCAGGUCCAUCCUCUGCUAACGUGGCAUUCUGAGCAGUGCUCUAAUCAAUGCAACCCCACUAAAGUGUCACUCAAAGCUGGAUAUUUUGAACAUAAAUAUUUAUCAUUUCAACAUCCAGCAACAUUAAAGGACCACUACAGGCACCCAGACUACUUCAACUCAAUCUAGGGUUAACCCUGCAGCUGUAAAAAUAGCAGUUUCAGAGAAACUGCUAUGUUUACAAUAAGGUUAAUCCAGCCUCUAGUGGCUGUCUCACCGACAGCCGCUAGAUGCACUUCUCACUGUGAAAAUCAGUGAGAAGACGCCAUCCAUAGGAAAGCAUUGAGAAAUGCUUUCCUAUAGAUUGAUUGAAUGGGGGCUCGGCUCUUGCCGCGAAUGCGGCGGAAGAGGGAGGAGAGUCCUAAGUACCAAGGGAGCCCGGCGCUGGAGAAAGGUAAGUGUUUAACCCCUCUUGAGCCCGGCGGGAGGUGGAGGGUGAGGGGUACCCAAAGCCCCUAUAGUGCCAGGAAAACAAGUUUUUUUUUUUUUUUUCCUAGCACUAUAGUGGUCCUUUUAGUUUUUGUUUUCUCAGGCUCUAGGACCCCUUUUUAAUAUGGCAGUACUUAUUAACCAAUGCAUGUGUUAUCAUAACCACCACUUGUAUAAAACUGAAACAACUCCAUACCAGGGAGAAUGUGACUGCAAAGUAUUAGAAAUAUUUCCUUUAUAUUUUGCUACAAUAAAGAGUUGCAUGAUUUUUAGAAUGUACAAAAGGAUAGAAAAGAGCAGUGACAGGGAAUGUCUUUUUUACACAUUUAAAUCUGAUUGGCCCAAAGGGGAAGGAAGUCUUAAUUUUAGGAUAGGUCUUUAGAAUAAAUUAUUAUAGAGUCACUUGCAUAUGCUUCUACUUCUGGUUAUCCACCAAUUUACUCCAUAUUGUGUGCGCUUCAAUAUUAAAUGAGACUCUUGUAUCUCAUCUGCUCACACACAAUCAGUUAAUAGCAUCUAAAGAUUAUUUUGGUAGAACAACCAGCAAAUGUACAAAUUAGCAGAUAUUUUAAAUUUAUUACGUUUUAGCCUCACUCAUUGUCCUUUGUAAAAUGUUUUGAGAGAAAAGCAUUUAAAGAUAACCACACAGGAGUUUGUGGACUAGGAAUACAAUAAAUGAACAAACAAGGCCUUACAAAACAGCAAACAAAUAUUUCUAGGGAGUUCAUCAGACAUUUUUGUUGUAUGGUGUCCCAGCAUCCAGGGAUAUCUCAAACCAGCCAGCACAGUGCAAGCUAAAUAUAAGAUGCACACACUGUGCACUAGGACAAGGUUUGCACUGGAUGGGGUCAGCCAGGUGCCUGUCAAUCAACCUGACUUGCAUUCAGACCAGGCUGACACGUCCCUUUUGUUUUGGGCAUAACCAGUGAAGUAAAUUACCGUAUUCUUCGCUCCAUAAGACGCACCUAGUUUUUAGAGGAGGAAACCCAGAAAAAAAAAAUAUUCUGAACAAACUGUCCCAUAGUGUUUCUUAACGCCCCCCCCUCCCCUCGUCCCAUAGUGAUCUUUAAC